GACCUUGUAGCUUAGUUGGUAAAGCGUCGUCGUGUUGUACCCUCUCCUUAACUUCGUGACGAAUAUCGUGGGUUCGAGCCCCGCCAAGGUCG